GAGGCCCAGUGUCCUCAGUCUGGUGGAGGAAGAGUUGGACCCAAGAUAACUUUGGCCUCAUCAGACAAUACUAGUCCAGCCAGGACCCAGAAGGUGUGUGGCAUACACCUGUAAUCCCGGGACACUGGAGACUGAGACGGGGAUCCCUACAGGUACAUGCCUAUAAUCCCAGCUACUGGGGAGGCUGAGGCAGGAGGAUCACAAGUUCAAGGCCAGCCUGGGCAACUUGAAAGACUAUCAAAAAGGACUGAGGAGUGUAGUUCAGCACUUAGCACUUGCCGAGCUUGUGUGUGUACCUGGGUUCAAUCCACAGUAAUGCAAGUCAGUAAAAUAAACUCUCAAACCGGGGAGGGCUGCGUGCAGCAGCAAUGAACAUGAUUUCUCUCUCCUUGGAGUUCCACGUCCACACGGCCUGUCAGGAGUGGGAACACAAGCACUUGUUCCCACCUUCUUCCCUGUCAGUCGCCCCUCAAACACUGCUUUCUUCUAAAUGUAAUUUAGAGCUGCCCCUUUCUCCAGUCUCCUGGCCCAGCUCAAGUUCCAUUUUGUUUCAGCUGAGCCACUGCCCCAGCCUUUUCUUUGACCAUCCUAUUUCCAGCCCACCCUGGCCCCUGGGGAACUCGAAACAUCCAGGUCCGAUCCCGCUCCCACCCUCACUCCACGUUGCCUCCAGCUGCUACCCAAACUCAGUCCAUCCGAAAGCCUUGCGGGCCGGCUAGUCACUGUCCGCCCUGGGCACCCGGACUACCCUGACAACGAUCGGGUCAGCUCCGCACUAGCCUGUUCCACAGAUCCUUUUGCCUGGGGGAUGGUCCGGGCCCACCUCUGGCAACUUAGCGAGAUCCUAUCUCAAAAUGGUAAAAAGCACUAGGAUGUUGCUCAAUGCAAAGGCCCUGGACUCAGUCCCCAGUACAGUGCAUAUCUGCCUGUUCUGUAAGGAGGGGCAAGGGCCAGCCAGGACAGACUCCUGUGGGGCGAGGACCGUCCUUUUUCUCUGCUGUCCGAUUCUCGCCGCCCCCUAGAAGGCACCGGAAGAGCCGCGAUGGAACCGGGGAUAACGGAAAGAACCCGGGGAGCUGGAGCGGGAAGCGGGGACUCCCUAGGUCCAUUUUCAAAGCCAACCGGCCGGCAGGCGGCAGAAGGCCACGGGCUCACGAGCGGACUGGGGUAGCCCCACUCGCUUUUCGGUUCCGACCCGUAAGCACUCACAGCCCUAGGUGAGCCGCGGUGCACGCACAGCCCCUGCCCCCCGCGCGGGCACGCCGGGAGAGGGAGUUCCGGAACGCGCCCCGAGUGCGGCCGAGGAGAGCGAAGGACUACAAGGCCCAGGAUGCACCGC
rnacentral:lncRNA from 1 species